CUAAUACAGAGGAUGAUUGAAAUAAACACAAUUAGAAAUGACAAAGGGAAUGUUACCACUGACCCCACAGAAAUAGAAACAACCAUCAGAAACUACUGCAAACACUUCUAUGCAUACAAACUAGAAAACUUCAAAGAGAUGGAUAAAUUCCUGGACAAAUACACCCUCCCACAACUGAGCCAGGAAGAAAUUGAUUUACUGAACAGACCAAUAACAAGCUCCGAAAUUGAAUCAGUAAUAAAUAACCUACCAAUCAAAAAAAGCCCAGAACAUGAUGGAUUCCCAGCCAUAUUCUACUAGAAAUACAAAGAAGAGCUGGUACCAUUUUUACAGGAACUAUUUGAAAAUAUUGAGGAGGAGGAACACCUCCCCAACUCAUUCUAUGAGGCCAACAUCAUCUUGAUACCAAAAUCUGGCACACACACACACACACACACACACACACACACACACACAAACUUCAGGCCAAUACCCUUGAUGAACAUCAAUGCAAAAAUCCUCAACAAAAUACUGGCAAACCAAAUCCAGCAGCACAUCAAAAAGUUAAUCCAUCAUGAUCAAGUAUGCUUCAUCCCCAGGAUGCAAGGUUGCCUCAACAUACACAUGUCAAUUAAUCUGAUUCAUCCCAUAAACAAAACUAAAGAUAAAAACCAUGUGAUUAUCUCAAUAUAUGCAGAAAAGGCUUUCAAUAAAAUUCAAGGCCUCUCCAUAUUAAAAACUCUAAAAAAUCUGGGUAUUGAGGAAACAUAGCUCAAAGUGAUGAGCUGUUUUUGUACCAGUAUCAUGCUGUUUUGGUUACUGUAGCCCUGUAGUAUAGUUUGAAGUUGGGUAACAUGAUGCCUCCAGCUUCGUUCUUUUUGCUGAGGAUUGCUUGGCUAUUAGGGCUCUUUUUUUUUUUGGUUCCAUAUGAAUUUUGAAAUAGUUUGCUCUAGUUCUGUGAGGAAUGCCAUUGGUAAUUUAAUAGGGAUAACUUGCAUCUGUAAAUUACUUUGGGCAGUAUAGCCAUUUUAAUGAUGUUAAUUCUUCCUAUCCAUGAGCAUGAAAUGUUUUUCCAUUUGUUUGUGUCUUCUCUGAUUUCUUUGAACAGUGUUUUGUAAUUCUCCUAGAGAUCUCUUAGAGAUCUUUCACCUCCCUGGUUAGCUGUAUUCCUAGGUAUUUAUUUUUUCUGUGUGUAGCAAUUAUGAAUGGGAUUGUGUUCUUCAUUUGACUCUCUGCUUUACUGCUAGGAAUUUUUGCACAUUGAUUUUGUAUGCUAAGACUUUGCUAAAGUUUAUCAGCAGAAGGAGCUUUGGGGCUAAGACUAUGGGGUUUUCUAGAUAUAGAAUCAUGUCAUCUGUAAACAGAGACAGUUUGACUUCCUGUCUAUUCCUCUCUUCCCUCCUCUGUUUGGAUGCCCUUCCAGUUUUGCACAUUCAGUGUAAUGUUGGCUGUGGGUUUGUCAUGGCUAGCUCUCAUCAUUUUGGCACUUCCGACUAGAAGUGCAAGAGGGGCCAGUGUUGUUGUUACCUGAAAGGUAAGUGCAGCCCACAAAAAUGCAGUGAAGAAGAAGAUAUAUGCAUAUGUUUAAGUUAAUACAAUUGAGAUACAUUUAGCAGACAGAAUCAAUAGAGUUGAUGAGUGACUGACUGGAUGUGUGGGGAGUUUAUAUCACUCCCAGGUUUUUGACUUGGGCAACUGGGCACUCAAGAAGGAAAAAGAGGAUCCAGGGAGAGGAACUUUUCUGAGGACUGGGGUAGGGCUGAACAGCUGCAUUCGAGACUGGUGGAGGGUGGGCUGGGCAUGGGAUGCACAAAUGGAGAUUCCACUGGGUCUGCAGCUCACACAUAGGCAUGACCAGCAUAGAGAUAGAGAGGCCCCAGUGCUGCUGAGUAACUGUGAUUCCCCAGGUGAUGGCAUCAGCUGAGAAGGGAAGGAAGCCUAUGUGAGGACACUGAAGAAGGAGUGAGCAGACAAUAAGAAGCCCACAGAAGACAGAGAAGGAACAACUAGAGGGAGAAGCCAAGGCAGGCAUGUGUGGUAACAUAUAGGAACUGAGGGAGAGGACAUUUCAAGAUGGAGAGGAUGCCAUACAACAGGACUAUGUGAUGGUUUUUGGCUGUGUCCAUAGGAAGUCACAACAGGCAAGGGAAAGAAACCAGAACCCAGUCAUGGAGUUAAGAAGUGAGUCAGAGAGGAGAUGGGUAGGGACAGUGAGGUAAGGCCUCUUUUUAAGGAAGUUUGGCUGAAGGAUAGACUAGCUGGACAUAUAUGCUGGCUGUGUGGGGUAGAGGGAGGAAUGAUGGAGGGUAGGAGAGCCUUGAGCCUGCGAGAAGAGUCUCCUAGAAUAGAGAAGCUGAGGUUAAAGUUGUGGAAGACAGUGGGGAUAACUGAGUGACAGAUAAUCAGGAGAAGAAAAGGAGAUCCAGAAUCAUGACAGAGAGAUGACCUUUGCCAAGAGCACAGCCAUCUUUCACUGCACAGAGAGGUAGGACAAAACGAUUGGUGUUCAAGAAUUGGUUUGUAGCACAAUAUUUUAACUAUGUCCUUUAAAAAGUUUCUCCACAGACACUACCCAAAGCAGUCCUUCACUACAGUGGCAGACAGACCUGAAAAUUUUCAUCUGAAGCAGCAGAGUGAACUGCAGAGUCAGGUCACCAACCAGUGUGGAGGCUAAAAGCGGGCCUCUUCGGGGAUUCCAGGUGGAAGUGUUGGACAUCUGUAGUAUUCCUGCAGGAACAAAGAUCACCACAACUGGCUCCCCUUCAACUAUGUUAGAUGGCAACUUGCAUUCAGUAUGGUGAAACACAUCAGUUAAGACUGGGGUUGUGCAUGGCAGGACUUUCUACAAGGACACCCAGUCUCCUUAAUAAACAUGAGAUGCUCUCUUUCCAGAAGUUCUCUUGCCUGACACAGCAUAGGAAGAUGCUGAACGGCCACACAGUGAUCCAUUGGUCAGUGGUGAUGUAAGGAGGUCGGAGGGGAGGAGUGAGGAGAAGUAGGGAAGACUAGGUGGUUGUAGGCCUCCUUCAUCUGUUCAUUGGCUGUGGCAUUAGGCCAGCUACUCUUUGCACUUCUGUAAAGUGAGACGGUCGAUCUUGUCUGCCUCUCUAGAGGAUGGCUGCAGGUGUCAAAUGGGGUAGUUAGGUGGGAGGGCA
rnacentral:lncRNA from 1 species